rnacentral:rRNA from 1 species
GACGAACGCUGGCGGCGUGCUUAACACAUGCAAGUCGAACGAAGAGCGAUGGAAGCUUGCUUCUAUCAAUCUUAGUGGCGAACGGGUGAGUAACGCGUAAUCAACCUGCCCUUCAGAGGGGGACAACAGUUGGAAACGACUGCUAAUACCGCAUACGAUCUGACCUCGGCAUCGAGGAUAGAUGAAAGGUGGCCUCUACAUGUAAGCUAUCACUGAAGGAGGGGAUUGCGACUGAUUAGCUAGUUGGAGGGGUAACGGCCCACCAAGGCGAUGAUCAGUAGCCGGUCUGAGAGGAUGAACGGCCACAUUGGGACUGAGACACGGCCCAGACUCCUACGGGAGGCAGCAGUGGGGAAUCUUCCGCAAUGGACGAAAGUCUGACGGAGCAACGCCGCGUGAGUGAUGACGGCCUUCGGGUUGUAAAGCUCUGUUAAUCGGGACGAAAGGCCUUCUUGUGAAUAGUGAGAAGGAU